rnacentral:lncRNA from 1 species
UUACAGAACACUACAAGUAACGGCUCCAUCCACAAUAAACAGGGCUUGGCUCUGCUGGCCUGUGCAGCUGCCCCAGAAGAGCCACAGAGCAAAGGGAAGGAUGGAAUUGCAAAACAGAAUUUGAGUUUCCAGCUGUUACCAAAGAAUCCUGGCCAGCUCUCCAGCUUGGCCAAAGCAGCAACUGGCUCUGAACCCUGGGAUCCCAGAAACUGCCCUGCACCUCUGCAGUACAUCCCUACCCAGGUCAUGGAUUUAGUGCCUGUGAAAAGAUCAAACCUACAGUGAAUCCACAGCAGUUUGUGACUCUGUCACGUCCUGCUCCUUUUGCCUUCUCCAGGUUUUAUUCCAACCUGUGCUCUGGCUCACUGCAAAUACACCAGGCUACGCUUGAGACUUCUUGGUUGUUGCUGGUUGCUUUUCUUCUUUUCUUCUUCCCUUUUUUUUUUUUUUUUCUUUCUCCCCUGCUAAUCCAGUCACCUCCCUUGAAGUGGCCAAGGUUGUUCUUCCUGCCAAGGGAAUGAGGGCACACAGAGCCUUCUGUCCACAGAGCACUUGCCUUGGCCCAGGCACAAAUGGGAGCUUUUCUUUCCUCCUGCUCAGAAGGCACCAAUAAUGAGGUGUUUGGCCAUGGAAAGCGGAAUUGCUUCAGCCUCAGUAAGAAGGACUCAGUGUUUGCAGGCUCAGCAUCAUUUCCCACAGCACACUGUUGCUCUUGAAUUGCACACCAGAACCUGGCAAGGAAAGAGGAGGAGAGAGGGGGAAUCCUUCACCCUGAUGAGUCAAAACCCCAUCCUGCCUCCUGGAGUGCUUCUCAUUCUGUCAGUGGUCUAUGUUAGUUCUUGUUCAGAAGUUGGUCCUGGAAGUCUGAGAGAGUGGGGAAGAAAUCCUCUCCAGCUGUUUGUGGCAGAGUGGGAUAGGAGGGCGAUGUCUCCUGCCACUCUGCUGCCUUUCUCUCUGAGUUUUUAAGGUUCAUAACUCCUGUGAAGCUUUCUGCUUGAACCAUGCUUUACCAGGAUGACCCAAAAAUAUAGGAUUUGAGAUCUUCUGAAAAUCCCAUUUGUGUUCUACCUGUGCCAUGGGCAAACCAGAAUCCUCUACUGAACCUCUACCUCUGCUAUGGUUUAGCAGAGAGGCUGUGAGUGGCAAAAAUUAGUUGGGCCACAGAAAAAUAAGGAUUUGACCUGUACUGGGUGUGCUGCAGCGAGGCUCCCAUGAAUCUGGAAAAGAGAAAAUGAUGAAGAAAAGAAGAAAUUAUGGAAAAUGAGCACUUGGAGACCUGGAAACCACCAUGGCAUUGGUCUCUUGUCAUAAACCAGGUUCUUUUCUCUUAGACUGACUCCUGCUUCCUAGAGAGACCAGCAGGCAGAGGCUCCUGGCACAUAUCCAUGUCUGGGCACACAGAUUCUGUGUGAAGACAGCUGGAAGGCUGGGACAGAUGUAAAUGUCUGAUCUGCUCCGUGGUACAGGUUGCAGAGACUGCUCAGGGCAGGAGUCUCUCCAGUUCUCCAGCUGCAUGGGGGGGCUGGAG